rnacentral:lncRNA from 1 species
AAGACUGGUGGAGCUGUAUGAAAAAGGGGCAGGGCGCUGGGCUUGGUUGGCCCCACCCCCAGGCUCUCUAGCCUAAGACGGUUGGAGACAGUUAUGGGCGUGGCUAGAGCUGGAUGGAGGUUGAUUGACACUCCCCAACCCCCCACCUCCGAUCUCCAAGCGGAGUUUGUCGGCAGCAACAGGCACGGGCACCAACUGUUCUGAUCUCUUGAAGAGCUCCUCAGGCAACCUUCUGUUUCUAGCAAGAUGAUACACCCAAGCCUUGAUGACAAGGCUUGGCUCUCAACCUCCUUGCUCCCCACCUCCUGUGAAAUACACAAAGAAAUUCAGUGAUCAUCGGGGAUGCUCUGGUCCAAACACUACCUGCCAGCCAGACGCAGGAGAUGGAUGGCUCAGCAGUAAUCGUGCUGCUUGAGCUUGGUGUCUAAUGGGGACAGUAGUGACAGGAAGUUCACAGGGACUGGAAGACAUGAGUUCUCUGAGGGAAAGGAAGGUGAAGCCUGGUGCUUAGGACCCUCAGGAGACCAUAGGAUGUGAGAAGGCUCAAGACACCCAGAGGUGGGGUCAGAAACAGGGCAAAGGAGACCAAGCAUGGGAGAGCUGCAGUGGACGUGUACAGACAGGAGAAGCAGGCCCUAAAGAAUCCCUGAGGCGGCAGAGAGGCUGGGCUGUGGAACUUUUUAAUUACUUUGCAUUAGGGGACUGUAGAGACCCAGAAGCCCACCCUUCCCCUCCCCUCAUCAGCUUAGCCCCAACAUAUGGUGGCUACCAAAGUAGUUAAAUCGGCUCUUGGUAGAAAAGGAAAGAGAUUCCUCCCAGGCUCUUCCCAGGGUCCACGGCCACACUCCAGGAGGGCUCAACUCCAGGGCAAGGCAGCUGGGACAGCAGGCAGCUGAAGGAGGACUAUUACUGCACCUUAGGGAAGAGUGCAGUGGCGAGUGGGGAGGACUCUGCUGGGACCCGGGGGUCAUGUGCAUUCCCAUUUAGUUGAGCUCUGCUUAAUCCGGGCCUAGGCUCACAGUAAUGGGGAACGAGGAGAGGCUCCCAUCAGAGACCAAGAAGAUGACAGACUCUCUGUAAAGGCUGUCAGAGGGGUCUGCAUGACCAACCACACCUGCUCCUGUUCCUUUGGGGCUCUUGUGACCUCCCUGUCUUCUUGUGAGAUCUUAUGUUCCUCCAACCCUGAGAGCUACAAACCAAUCUCCGGAAUAAAAAAAUCUGUCCCUCGUGCUGUCAG